GGGGGCUUAGCUCAGAUGGGAGAGCGCCUGCUUUGCACGCAGGAGGUCAGCGGUUCGAUCCCGCUAGUCUCCACCA
rnacentral:tRNA from 95 species